rnacentral:lncRNA from 1 species
CCUUGAGAUAUGUUAACUUGGAGGAACACCUCCAUUCCCUAUCAUUCUGUUGUAACAAGUCUUCAAAGAGCUGCUUGCUUUCUUCAGCCACAGUAGAUGCCUCCUUGACUAGUCCCAGGAAGACAAUAUGACUAGUUCAGCUUCCAAGAGAAGUGAAUGAUGCAGGGAAGAGCCAGUUCAGUCAGGUGGCAGCAAUCUAGCUCUGGGCUUCCUGGCCUCUGAUAGGGAUCUGCAAGACCCUUGGUGUGAACCAGUAUGCGUGCUGGGGAGAAAUGGGUCACUUUUGGGUCUUGUUAGAUGGACUGUUACACAGACUGAGUGGAUGCUGAUUUAUUCUGAAGGAGGCAGGCAGCCAAGUCUGUAGCUACCCACCUCUGAAUGUGCUGAAGGCAGGGAAGAAAAGAACCCCAAGAGAGGAAUGCGAAUGCCAUAGUCUAAAAGGAAGUUCUAAUUAGCAAUGAGCAUGGGAAACUUAUCUGGAAUUACAAUCAAGCUGGGCACAGAGUACUACUGUCCCCGUCCUAUUCCUCUACCCAGUCCAUGCUACUCAUCAAAGACAAAGAGCCUGGCAGGAAUAAAGAAGCUGCUAAACACAAAAC